CCUACGGGUGGCAGCAGUGAGGAAUAUUGGUCAAUGGGCGCGAGCCUGAACCAGCCAAGUCGCGUGAGGGAUGAAGGUUCUAUGGAUCGUAAACCUCUUUUAUAAGGGAAUAAAGUGUGGGACGUGUCCUAUUUUGUAUGUACCUUAUGAAUAAGGAUCGGCUAACUCCGUGCCAGCAGCCGCGGUAAUACGGAGGAUCCGAGCGUUAUCCGGAUUUAUUGGGUUUAAAGGGUGCGUAGGCGGCCUUUUAAGUCAGCGGUGAAAGUCUGUGGCUCAACCAUAGAAUUGCCGUUGAAACUGGGGGGCUUGAGUAUGUUUGAGGCAGGCGGAAUGCGUGGUGUAGCGGUGAAAUGCUUAGAUAUCACGCAGAACUCCGAUCGCGAAGGCAGCCUACCGGCGCGCAACUGACGCUCAUGCACGAAAGCGUGGGUAUCGAACAGGAUUAGAUACCCCGGUAGUC
rnacentral:rRNA from 1 species